UUAAGUUAUUAAGGGCGCACGGUGGAUGCCUUGGCACUAGAAGCCGAUGAAGGACGUUACUAACGACGAUAUGCUUUGGGGAGCUGUAAGUAAGCUUUGAUCCAGAGAUUUCCGAAUGGGGAAACCCAGCAUGAGUUAUGUCAUGUUAUCGAUAUGUGAAUACAUAGCAUAUCAGAAGGCACACCCGGAGAACUGAAACAUCUUAGUACCCGGAGGAAGAGAAAGAAAAUUCGAUUCCCUUAGUAGCGGCGAGCGAAACGGGAAGAGCCCAAACCAACAAGCUUGCUUGUUGGGGUUGUAGGACACUCUAUACGGAGUUACAAAGGACGACAUUAGACGAAUCAUCUGGAAAGAUGAAUCAAAGAAGGUAAUAAUCCUGUAGUCGAAAAUGUUGUCUCUCUUGAGUGGAUCCUGAGUACGACGGAGCACGUGAAAUUCCGUCGGAAUCUGGGAGGACCAUCUCCUAAGGCUAAAUACUCUCUAGUGACCGAUAGUGAACCAGUACCGUGAGGGAAAGGUGAAAAGCACCCCGGAAGGGGAGUGAAAUAGAACCUGAAACCGUGUGCUUACAAGUAGUCAGAGCCCGUUAAUGGGUGAUGGCGUGCCUUUUGUAGAAUGAACCGGCGAGUUACGAUUUGAUGCAAGGUUAAGCAGUAAAUGUGGAGCCGUAGCGAAAGCGAGUCUGAAUAGGGCGUUUAGUAUUUGGUCGUAGACCCGAAACCAGGUGAUCUACCCUUGGUCAGGUUGAAGUUCAGGUAACACUGAAUGGAGGACCGAACCGACUUACGUUGAAAAGUGAGCGGAUGAACUGAGGGUAGCGGAGAAAUUCCAAUCGAACCUGGAGAUAGCUGGUUCUCUCCGAAAUAGCUUUAGGGCUAGCCUCAAGUGAUGAUUAUUGGAGGUAGAGCACUGUUUGGACGAGGGGCCCCUCUCGGGUUACCGAAUUCAGACAAACUCCGAAUGCCAAUUAAUUUAACUUGGGAGUCAGAACAUGGGUGAUAAGGUCCGUGUUCGAAAGGGAAACAGCCCAGACCACCAGCUAAGGUCCCAAAAUAUAUGUUAAGUGGAAAAGGAUGUGGCGUUGCCCAGACAACUAGGAUGUUGGCUUAGAAGCAGCCAUCAUUUAAAGAGUGCGUAAUAGCUCACUAGUCGAGUGACACUGCGCCGAAAAUGUACCGGGGCUAAACAUAUUACCGAAGCUGUGGAUUGUCCUUUGGACAAUGGUAGGAGAGCGUUCUAAGGGCGUUGAAGCAUGAUCGUAAGGACAUGUGGAGCGCUUAGAAGUGAGAAUGCCGGUGUGAGUAGCGAAAGACGGGUGAGAAUCCCGUCCACCGAUUGACUAAGGUUUCCAGAGGAAGGCUCGUCCGCUCUGGGUUAGUCGGGUCCUAAGCUGAGGCCGACAGGCGUAGGCGAUGGAUAACAGGUUGAUAUUCCUGUACCACCUAUAAUCGUUUUAAUCGAUGGGGGGGACGCAGUAGGAUAGGCGAAGCGUGCGAUUGGAUUGCACGUCUAAGCAGUAAGGCUGAGUAUUAGGCAAAUCCGGUACUCAUUAAGGCUGAGCUGUGAUGGGGAGAAGACAUUGUGUCUUCGAGUCGUUGAUUUCACACUGCCGAGAAAAGCCUCUAGAUAGAAAAUAGGUGCCCGUACCGCAAACCGACACAGGUAGUCAAGAUGAGAAUUCUAAGGUGAGCGAGCGAACUCUCGUUAAGGAACUCGGCAAAAUGACCCCGUAACUUCGGGAGAAGGGGUGCUCUUUAGGGUUAACGCCCAGAAGAGCCGCAGUGAAUAGGCCCAAGCGACUGUUUAUCAAAAACACAGGUCUCUGCUAAACCGUAAGGUGAUGUAUAGGGGCUGACGCCUGCCCGGUGCUGGAAGGUUAAGAGGAGUGGUUAGCUUCUGCGAAGCUACGAAUCGAAGCCCCAGUAAACGGCGGCCGUAACUAUAACGGUCCUAAGGUAGCGAAAUUCCUUGUCGGGUAAGUUCCGACCCGCACGAAAGGCGUAACGAUUUGGGCACUGUCUCAACGAGAGACUCGGUGAAAUCAUAGUACCUGUGAAGAUGCAGGUUACCCGCGACAGGACGGAAAGACCCCGUGGAGCUUUACUGUAGCCUGAUAUUGAAAUUCGGCACAGCUUGUACAGGAUAGGUAGGAGCCUUUGAAACGUGAGCGCUAGCUUACGUGGAGGCGCUGGUGGGAUACUACCCUAGCUGUGUUGGCUUUCUAACCCGCACCACUUAUCGUGGUGGGAGACAGUGUCAGGCGGGCAGUUUGACUGGGGCGGUCGCCUCCUAAAAGGUAACGGAGGCGCUCAAAGGUUCCCUCAGAAUGGUUGGAAAUCAUUCAUAGAGUGUAAAGGCAUAAGGGAGCUUGACUGCGAGACCUACAAGUCGAGCAGGGUCGAAAGACGGACUUAGUGAUCCGGUGGUUCCGUAUGGAAGGGCCAUCGCUCAACGGAUAAAAGCUACCCCGGGGAUAACAGGCUUAUCUCCCCCAAGAGUUCACAUCGACGGGGAGGUUUGGCACCUCGAUGUCGGCUCAUCGCAUCCUGGGGCUGUAGUCGGUCCCAAGGGUUGGGCUGUUCGCCCAUUAAAGCGGUACGCGAGCUGGGUUCAGAACGUCGUGAGACAGUUCGGUCCCUAUCCGUCGUGGGCGUAGGAAAUUUGAGAGGAGCUGUCCUUAGUACGAGAGGACCGGGAUGGACAUACCUCUGGUGUACCAGUUGUCGUGCCAACGGCAUAGCUGGGUAGCUAUGUGUGGACGGGAUAAGUGCUGAAAGCAUCUAAGCAUGAAGCCCCCCUCAAGAUGAGAUUUCCCAACUUCGGUUAUAAGAUCCCUCAAAGAUGAUGAGGUUAAUAGGUUCGAGGUGGAAGCAUGGUGACAUGUGGAGCUGACGAAUACUAAUCGAUCGAAGACUUAAUCAA
rnacentral:rRNA from 37 species